AGGGGGUACCGGUACAGAGUCAAUGUGGAGGCUAUAUACAGGGGGUACCGGUACAGAGUCAAUGUGGAGGCUAUAUACAGGGGGUACCGGUACAGAGUCAAUGUGGAGGCUAUAUACAGGGGUACCAGUACAGAGUCAAUGUGGAGGCUAUAUACAGGGUGUUACGGUACAGAGUCAAUGUGGAGGCUAUAUACAGGGGUACCGGUACAGAGUCUAUGUGGAGGCUAUAUACAGGGUGUUACGGUACAGAGUCAAUGUGGAGGCUAUAUACAGGGGUACCGGUACAGAGUCUAUGUGGAGGCUAUAUACAGGGUGUUACGGUACAGAGUCAAUGUGGAGGCUAUAUACAGGGGGUACCGGUACAGAGUCAAUGUGGAGGCUAUAUACAGGGUGUUACGGUACAGAGUCAAUGUGGAGACUAUAUACAGGGUGUUACGGUACAGAGUCAAUGUGGAGGCUAUAUACAGGGGGUACUGGUACAGAGUCAAUGUGGAGGCUAUAUACAGGGGGUACCGGUACAGAGUCAAUGUGGAGGCUAUAUACAGGGUAUUAUGGUACAGAGUCAAUGUGGAGGCUAUAUACAGGGGGUACCGGUACAGAGUCAGUGUGGAGGCUAUAUACAGGGGGUACCGGUACAGAGUCAAUGUGGAGGCUAUAUACAGGGGUACCGGUACAGAGU
ensembl:lncRNA